rnacentral:rRNA from 1 species
UUAAAACCAAGCUCAACCUCUUUCCCCAAAACAUAAAACAUAAAACAAACCAUUUGACACAACCAGUAAAGGAGAUUAAACAU